rnacentral:tRNA from 1 species
AAAGAAAAGACAGGUAAAAUAUUUUGACUGAUUCCUUCGUACAUAAUAGGUAAGCCUAGAAUAAU